rnacentral:rRNA from 1 species
UACGGAGGGUGCGAGCGUUGUCCGGAAUCAUUGGGCGUAAAGCGCGUGUAGGCGGUUCGGUAAGUCUGCUGUGAAAGUCCAGGGCUCAACCCUGGGAUGCCGGUGGAUACUGUCGGGCUAGAGUACGGAAGAGGCGAGUGGAAUUCCCGGUGUAGCGGUGAAAUGCGUAGAUAUCGGAAGGAACACCGGUGGCGAAAGCGGCGCGCUGGACCUCUUCUGACGCUGAGGCGCGAAAGCCAGGGGAGCGAACGGG